UGGUUCGAAAUCAGUAAUAUCAUAAUAUCAAACUGGUCAGGUCUGGAAAGAAGCAUCCAAAGGUAUUUGGAUAUGUACCGAACGAAACCAAG
rnacentral:SRP_RNA from 1 species